rnacentral:tRNA from 1 species
AUGGUGGUGGUUCAGUGGUAGAAUUUUCGCCUUUCAUGCAGAAGACCUGGGUUCGACUCCUGGCCAAUGCA